rnacentral:rRNA from 1 species
CCUACGGGUGGCAGCAGUGGGGAAUAUUGGACAAUGGGCGCAAGCCUGAUCCAGCCAUGCCGCGUGGAUGAUGAAGGCCCUAGGGUUGUAAAGUCCUUUCGGCGGGGAAGCGGUACCCGCAGAAGAAGCCCCGGCUAACUUCGUGCCAGCAGCCGCGGUAAUACGAAGGGGGCUAGCGUUGCUCGGAAUCACUGGGCGUAAAGCGCACGUAGGCGGAUAUUUAAGUCGGUGGUGAAAUCCUGGAGCUCAACUCCAGAACUGCCUCCGAUACUGAAUGUCUUGAGUCCGGGAGAGGUGAGUGGAACUGCGAGUGUAGAGGUGAAAUUCGUAGAUAUUCGCAAGAACACCAGUGGCGAAGGCGGCUCACUGGCCCGGACUGACGCUGAGGUGCGAAAGCGUGGGGAGCAAACAGGAUUAGAUACCCUUGUAGUC